rnacentral:rRNA from 1 species
CCUACGGGAGGCAGCAGUGAGGAAUAUUGGGCAAUGGGCGCAAGCCUGACCCAGCAACGCCGCGUGGAGGAAGACGGCCUUCGGGUUGUAAACUCCUUUUACGGGGGAAGAGGAAGGACGGUACCCCGAGAAUAAGUCACGGCUAACUACGUGCCAGCAGCCGCGGUAAUACGUAGGUGACAAGCGUUAUCCGGAAUUACUGGGCGUAAAGCGCACGCAGGCGGCGCAUUAAGUCUGACGUGAAAUCUCCCGGCUUAACUGGGAGGGGUCGUUGGAAACUGAUGUGCUUGAGGCGGUGAGAGGGGUGUAGAAUUCCCGGUGUAGUGGUGGAAUGCGUAGAUAUCGGGAGGAAUACCAGUGGCGAAAGCGGCACCCUGGCACUAGCCUGACGCUCAUGUGCGAAGGCGUGGGGAGCGAACGGGAUUAGAUACCCCGGUAGUCCACGCGGUAAACGAUGAAUACUAGGUGUGGGGGGAGUGAAAUCCUUCUGUGCCGAAGCAAACGCGCUAAGUAUUCCGCCUGGGGAGUACGGCCGCAAGGCUAAAACUCAAAGGAAUUGACGG